ensembl:snRNA U6 U6 spliceosomal RNA
UUGCUUUGGCAGCACAUAUACUAAAAUUGGAACGUUAUGGAGAAUAUUAGCAUGGCCUUGCUCAAGGAUGCUAUAUAAAUUCAUGAAGCAUUCCAUUAGGGA